UAGCACCUGAGUGAGAGACAAAGAUUUAUCAGUUCUACAUAUUUACAUUCACAAGAAUCUACGACACCAGAGACAACAGUAAAUAAAAACCAUAUCCUAGAUUUUUUGGGGUCCAUUCCAACAUAUGGAUAACUUGUCUAACACUGGUGUGCGUUGGAAAAGGGGUAGUCUUAUACGACAGAGGACUAUUGGCGAGAAUGACACAUCUUGAAGAAGCACAGAGAAUGAAUGUGACACUGUCACCACAGAAGCAACUCAACACAAAACAACUGUGGGUUUUGAAUUAAUAAACAUGUUGAUUGCAUUACAACCAUUUGA